rnacentral:pre_miRNA from 14 species
GUUGCUGCAGCUGGUGUUGUGAAUCAGGCCGACGAGCAACGCAUCCUCUUACCCGGCUAUUUCACGACACCAGGGUUGCACCC